rnacentral:lncRNA from 1 species
ACUAAUUACCAUAAUUAUACUGAUCCGUUUGUUGGAUACUAUACGAUUGUAUAUAACAGUUGUUUAACUAUUUAUCGAUGGUUCCAUGACCUUCUUUAGAGCUCAUGAGAAGCAUUGUGAAGGUGCCCGCAUGGUAUAAUUGCACCCUGAGUGUGUAGGUACGUAUAGGCCUAAUAAAAACAGUCGUUUCGUAUAUUCAUCAAUAUAUUAAACUUGUCGUUUAUUCUACGUCGUUAACAUCAUGCAAUAAGCGUUUAAUUGGUUCUAAACCCUCAACUUUGGGCUUUAGGGUUUAGACACAAAACUAACAUUAGCGAAUCUAUAGUAAUAUAUACUUAUCCAAAUUAGAACUAUUCUUAUCUAAAAAUAAUAUUCAAAUUAAAAAUGAACUCAUUUUUCUUCACUUCAACACGCUGUGUGGCCAUGUUUAUUUUGGUUUGACGGGAUAUAAGGUCUAGAAAUGGAAUUAUAAAUAAUUUUGAUGAACUGAGG